ensembl:lncRNA
GGGAUCCAGCAUAAGAAUUCCAGGCAGCCAGACCUCUCAGGUCUCAUCUCCUGCAAUGUCCUGACUUUUCUUCUGUCUUCUGCUCUGACCCAUCCAUUCUCCAACCGGCAGCCAGAGUUGUCUUUUUCCAGAGUGAGCUAGAUGACGCCUUCCAUGACUCAAAGCCCUUCAAGGGGCUGUCUGUUGACCUUCGAAUAGAACCUGCUGUCUUCACCAAGGCCAACAGGCCCCACAUGAUCCAGUCCUUGCCCACCUCUCUUCCCUUGGCUGGACCGGCCAUUCCCCAGCAUUCUGCUCUCCAGAUCACCAUGGCCCUUCCUAGACCAUCCAAGGUCCUGCCUCCCCUGGGGGCCUUUGCUCCACCCGAGAGACCGCACCCUAAACUCCCAUGAGGUGGCUUCUUUAGGUUCCAGGAGGGGCCUCCUUGACCACUUUCACCCUAAGUCAGUCUUCAUUUUUAUAUCCUUCCAAGCAGCCUGUCAUGAGCUAUAAUUAUCAUAAUCUGUAAGUUACAUGUUUAUUUACUGAUGUGUCUCCCUUCAUUAAACUGAGAGCUCUAGGCAGGCAAACAUCAUGUCAAAUUCACUGUAGUGUCCCCAGCUCCCAGCUUGGGGCCAGACUGUAGUGUGUGUUUGUUGACUGACUGAGUAACCCAGACUCACUGGAAUGUAUCUGGAGCAGGGUGAGCAAGGUGGCCUGAAAAUGACCUGAAUCCUCUAUCAUGCUUGACAGAUUGGAACAUGCCCAGCUUGGAGGCAGAGAGUGAAUAGGACUGUGAGCCUUACCCUCAGAUAUCCCUAGUCCUGUUCUGUGGGUGAGGAAUGGACCCUUCUGUGAUUCCCCUGGCCAGUGGAAGGAGUAUUAGCAAGAUGCUCAGCUGCUGAACCCAAUAAUUUGGUACCAGUCAUACUUGACUGCAGGGGGACAGCAGUCUUGGAAAGCGGGUAGUGUCUCAUCUUUGCUGGAAGGUUCCAGUGGAGGUGAUAAAACAGCAUGUGCAUGGAAUACUGUUCAGACUUAAAAUGAAAGAAUUUCUGACACUUGCUACAACAUGGAUGAACCCUGAGGACAUGGGGCUAAGUGAAAUAAGCCAGACACAAAAGGAAAAAUACUGCAUGGCUCCACUUAAAAGAGGCACCUAGAGGAGUUUAAUUCAUAGAAACAGAGAGUAGGGCGGUGGUUGCCAGGGGCUGGAGGAAGCAGGGAAGGUGGAGCUAUUGCUUGAUGGAAACAGUGUUUCAUUUUGGGGGGAUGAAAAUGUUUGGGAGGUGGAUAGAGGUGAUGGUUGCACGAGGAUGUGAAUGUGGUUAAUGCCACUGAAUUGCGUACUUAAAAAUGGUUAAAAUGAUAAAAUUUAUGUUGUGUCUAUUUUAGCACAGUAACAAACAAAUGAAAAACCCAACCCUUGGCUGCAGUGUGAGAAAUCACGUGCCACUGUGGGUGUUUGGACCCAGUGACUUUAAAGGUGCCCUUCAACUCCAGGGUGUUCAGUUCUGCAAAAAAAAAAAAAAAAA